rnacentral:rRNA from 1 species
ACUCCUACGGGAGGCAGCAGUGGGGAAUUUUGGACAAUGGGGGAAACCCUGAUCCAGCCAUCCCGCGUGUGCGAUGAAGGCCUUCGGGUUGUAAAGCACUUUUGGCACGGAAAGAAACUGUCAUGGGUCUAAUACACCGUGAA